CAGUCGCCACGGUAAUACGAAGGGUGCAAGCGUUAAUCGGAAUUACUGGGCGUAAAGCGUGCGUAGGCGGUGAGUUAAGUCUGCUGUGAAAUCCCCGGGCUUAACCUGGGAACUGCGCUUGUGACUGCACAGCUAGAGUAUGGCAGAGGGGGGUGGAAUUCCACGUGUAGCAGUGAAAUGCGUAGAGAUGUGGAGGAACACCGAUGGCGAAGGCAGCCCCCUGGGCCAAUACUGACGCUCAUGCACGAAAGCGUGGGGAGCAAGCAGGAUUAGAUACCCCGGUAGUCCCUGUCUCUUAUAC
rnacentral:rRNA from 1 species